GUGCUUCUUCAGCAGCACAUAUACUAAAAUUGGAACGAUACAGAAAUUAGCAUGGUCCCUGCUCAAAGAUGACAUGAAAAUUCAUGAAGCAUUCCACGUUUUA
ensembl:snRNA U6 U6 spliceosomal RNA